rnacentral:rRNA from 1 species
GACAGAGGUCCCGAGCGUUAGGCGGAAUCACUGGGCUUAAAGCGUGUGUAGGCGGAUCGUUAAGUGCCUUGUGAAAUCCCAUGGCUUAACCAUGGAACUGCUUGGCAUACUGGCGGUCUUGAGCCACUUAGGGGCAACCGGAACAAAUGGUGGAGCGGUGAGAUGCGUAGAUAUCAUUUGGAACGCCAAUGGUGAAAACAGGUUGCUGGGAGUGUGCUGACGCUGAGACACGAAAGCCAGGGGAGCGAACGGG